rnacentral:rRNA from 1 species
AACACAUGCAAGUCGAGCGGUAACAGGGGAGCUUGCUCUGGGUGACGAGCGGCGGACGGGUGAGUAAUGUCUGGGAAACUGCCUGAUGGAGGGGGAUAACUACUGGAAACGGUAGCUAAUACCGCAUAACGUCGCAAGACCAAAGAGGGGGACCUUCGGGCCUCUUGCCAUCAGAUGUGCCCAGAUGGGAUUAGCUAGUAGGUGGGGUAAUGGCUCACCUAGGCGACGAUCCCUAGCUGGUCUGAGAGGAUGACCAGCCACACUGGAACUGAGACACGGUCCAGACUCCUAUGGGAGGCAGCAGUGGGGAAUAUUGCACAAUGGGCGCAAGCCUGAUGCAGCCAUGCCGCGUGUGUGAAGAAGGCCUUCGGGUUGUAAAGCACUUUCAGCGAGGAGGAAGGUGGUGAGCUUAAUACGCUCAUCAAUUGACGUUACUCGCAGAAGAAGCACCGGCUAACUCCGUGCCAGCAGCCGCGGUAAUACGGAGGGUGCAAGCGUUAAUCGGAAUUACUGGGCGUAAAGCGCACGCAGGCGGUUUGUUAAGUCAGAUGUGAAAUCCCCGGGCUCAACCUGGGAACUGCAUUUGAAACUGGCAAGCUAGAGUCUCGUAGAGGGGGGUAGAAUUCCAGGUGUAGCGGUGAAAUGCGUAGAGAUCUGGAGGAAUACCGGUGGCGAAGGCGGCCCCCUGGACGAAGACUGACGCUCAGGUGCGAAAG